GCUCAGGACGAACGCUGGCGGCGUGCCUAAUACAUGCAAGUCGAACGAGUUCUGAUUAUUGAAAGGUGCUUGCAUCUUGAUUUUAAUUUUGAACGAGUGGCGGACGGGUGAGUAACACGUGGGUAACCUGCCCUUAAGUGGGGGAUAACAUUUGGAAACAGAUGCUAAUACCGCAUAAAUCCAAGAACCGCAUGGUUCUUGGCUGAAAGAUGGCGUAAGCUAUCGCUUUUGGAUGGACCCGCGGCGUAUUAGCUAGUUGGUGAGGUAACGGCUCACCAAGGCAAUGAUACGUAGCCGAACUGAGAGGUUGAUCGGCCACAUUGGGACUGAGACACGGCCCAAACUCCUACGGGAGGCAGCAGUAGGGAAUCUUCCACAAUGGACGCAAGUCUGAUGGAGCAACGCCGCGUGAGUGAAGAAGGCUUUCGGGUCGUAAAACUCUGUUGUUGGAGAAGAAUGGUCGGCAGAGUAACUGUUGUCGGCGUGACGGUAUCCAACCAGAAAGCCACGGCUAACUACGUGCCAGCAGCCGCGGUAAUACGUAGGUGGCAAGCGUUAUCCGGAUUUAUUGGGCGUAAAGCGAGCGCAGGCGGUUUUUUAAGUCUGAUGUGAAAGCCCUCGGCUUAACCGAGGAAGUGCAUCGGAAACUGGGAAACUUGAGUGCAGAAGAGGACAGUGGAACUCCAUGUGUAGCGGUGAAAUGCGUAGAUAUAUGGAAGAACACCAGUGGCGAAGGCGGCUGUCUGGUCUGUAACUGACGCUGAGGCUCGAAAGCAUGGGUAGCGAACAGGAUUAGAUACCCUGGUAGUCCAUGCCGUAAACGAUGAAUGCUAGGUGUUGGAGGGGUUUCCGCCCUUCAGUGCCGCAGCUAACGCAUUAAGCAUUCCGCCUGGGGAGUACGACCGCAAGGUUGAAACUCAAAGGAAUUGACGGGGGCCCGCACAAGCGGUGGAGCAUGUGGUUUAAUUCGAAGCAACGCGAAGAACCUUACCAGGUCUUGACAUCUUUUGAUCACCUGAGAGAUCAGGUUUCCCCUUCGGGGGCAAAAUGACAGGUGGUGCAUGGUUGUCGUCAGCUCGUGUCGUGAGAUGUUGGGUUAAGUCCCGCAACGAGCGCAACCCUUAUGACUAGUUGCCAGCAUUUAGUUGGGCACUCUAGUAAGACUGCCGGUGACAAACCGGAGGAAGGUGGGGAUGACGUCAAAUCAUCAUGCCCCUUAUGACCUGGGCUACACACGUGCUACAAUGGAUGGUACAACGAGUUGCGAGACCGCGAGGUCAAGCUAAUCUCUUAAAGCCAUUCUCAGUUCGGACUGUAGGCUGCAACUCGCCUACACGAAGUCGGAAUCGCUAGUAAUCGCGGAUCAGCACGCCGCGGUGAAUACGUUCCCGGGCCUUGUACACACCGCCCGUCACACCAUGAGAGUUUGUAACACCCGAAGCCGGUGGCGUAACCCUUUUAGGGAGCGAGCCGUCUAAGGUGGGAC
rnacentral:rRNA from 1 species